rnacentral:rRNA from 1 species
GAGAUAGAGGAGUGCUCGAAAGAGAGCCGUAACACAGGUGCUGCAUGGCUGUCGUCAGCUCGUGUCGUGAGAUGUUGGGUUAAGUCCCGCAACGAGCGCAACCCUUGUCAUUAGUUGCUACAUUCAGUUGGGCACUCUAAUGAGACUGCCGGUGACAAACCGGAGGAAGGUGGGGAUGACGUCAAGUCCUCAUGGCCCUUAUAGGUGGGGCUACACACGUCAUACAAUGGAUGGUACAAAGGGUCGCCAACCCGCGAGGGGGAGCCAAUCCCAUAAAGCCAUUCGUAGUCCGGAUCGCAGUCUGCAACUCGACUGCGUGAAGUCGGAAUCGCUAGUAAUCGUGGAUCAGAAUGUCACGGUGAAUACGUUCCCGGGUCUU